GCUUACGGCCACACUGCCUAGUUCACGCCCGAUCUCGUUUGAUCUCGGAAGCUAAGAUAGGGUGGGCCUGGUUAAUGCUUGGAUGGGAGACCCCCUGGGAAUACCAGGUGCUGUAAGCU
ensembl:rRNA 5S_rRNA 5S ribosomal RNA